rnacentral:rRNA from 1 species
GACGAACGCUGGCGGCGUGCUUAACACAUGCAAGUCGAACGGAAAGGCCCUGCUUUUGUGGGGUGCUCGAGUGGCGAACGGGUGAGUAACACGUGAGUAACCUGCCCUUGACUUUGGGAUAACUUCAGGAAACUGGGGCUAAUACCGGAUAGGAGCUCCUGCUGCAUGGUGGGGGUUGGAAAGUUUCGGCGGUUGGGGAUGGACUCGCGGCUUAUCAGCUUGUUGGUGGGGUAGUGGCUUACCAAGGCUUUGACGGGUAGCCGGCCUGAGAGGGUGACCGGCCACAUUGGGACUGAGAGACGGACCAGACUGCUACGGGAGGCAGCAGUGGGGAAUAAUGCACAAGGGGCGGAAGCCUGAUGCAGCAACGCCGCGUGCGGGAUGACGGCCUUCGGGUUGUAAACCGCUUUCGCCUGUGACGAAGCGUGAGUGACGGUAAUGGGUAAAGAAGCACCGGCUAACUACGUG